GUAGACAUAGUUUAACCCAAAACACUAGAUUGUGAUUCUAGAAACAGGGGUUAAUACCCCCUUGUCCACC
rnacentral:tRNA from 1 species